rnacentral:rRNA from 1 species
ACCUCUGGUGUACCAGUUGUCGUGCCAACGGCAUAGCUGGGUAGCUAUGUAUGGACGGGAUAAGUGCUGAAAGCAUCUAAGCAUGAAGCCCCCCUCAAGAUGAGAUUUCCCAACUUCGGUUAUAAGAUCCCUCGAAGAUGACGAGGUUAAUAGGUUCGAGGUGGAAGCGUGGUGACACGUGGAGCUGACGAAUACUAAUCGAUCGAAGACUUAAUCAA